rnacentral:rRNA from 1 species
CUGCCGGCGACCGGCGCACGGGUGAGUAACACGUAUGGAACCUGCCCGCAGCAGGGGGAUAAGCGGAAGAAAUUCCGUCUAAUACCGCGUAACAACGUUGGGAGGCAUCUCCCGAUGUUUAAAGAUUUAUCGGCUGCGGAUGGCCAUGCGGCGCAUUAGCUAGUCGGCGGGGUAACGGCCCACCGAGGCGACGAUGCGUAGGGGUUCUGAGAGGAAGGUCCCCUACACUGGUACUGAGACACGGACCAGACUCCUACGGGAGGCAGCAG